rnacentral:rRNA from 1 species
AAAAAAGCCCAAGGUUUCCUACGCAACGUUCAUCGGCGUAGGGUGAGUCGGCCCCUAAGGCGAGGCAGAAAUGCGUAGUCGAUGGGAAACAGGUGAAUAUUCCUGUACCGGUUAUUACCGCGAUGGGGGGACGGAGAAGGUUAGGCCAGCCAGGCGUUGGAUGUCCUGGUUCAAGCGUGUAGUCGUGGUCCCUAGGCAAAUCCGGAGAUCUUAGAUGAGGCGUGAUAACGAGUCUGCUUGCAGACGAAGUGGUUGAUACCCUGCUUCCAGGAAAAGCCUCUAAGCUUCAGGUAAUAACUGACCGUACCGCAAACCGACACAGGUGGGCAGGUUGAAAAUACCAAGGCGCUUGAGAGAACUCAGGAGAAGGAACUCGGCAAAUUGAUACCGUAACUUCGGGAGAAGGUAUGCCCCGGUAGCUUGUAGUCGUACAGACGAAGGGCGAUGGGGCCGCAGAGAAUCGGUGGCUGCGACUGUUUAAUAAAAACACAGCACUCUGCAAACACGAAAGUGGACGUAUAGGGUGUGACGCCUGCCCGGUGCCGGAAGGUUAAUUGAUGGGGUGCAAGCUCUUGAUCGAAGCCCCGGAAAACGGCGGCCGUAACUAUAACGGUCCUAAGGUAGCGAAAUUCCUUGUCGGGUAAGUUCCGACCUGCACGAAUGGCGUAACGAUGGCCACACUGUCUCCUCCUGAGACUCAGCGAAGUUGAAAUGUUUGUGAAGAUGCAAUCUCCCCGCGGCUAGACGGAAAGACCCCAUGAACCUUUACUGUAGCUUUACAUUGGACUUUGACGGGACUUGUGUAGGAUAGGUGGGAGGCUUUGAAGUGCGGACGCCAGUUCGCAUGGAGCCAACCUUGAAAUACCACCCUGGUGUCGUUGAGGUUCUAACCUUGAUCCGUGAAUCCGGAUCGGGGACCGUGUAUGGUGGGCAGUUUGACUGGGGCGGUCUCCUCCCAAAGAGUAACGGAGGAGUACGAAGGUCUUCUAGGUACGGUCGGACAUCGUACUGAUAGUGCAAUGGCAAAAGAAGGCUUGACUGCGAGACCCACAAGUCGAGCAGGUGCGAAAGCAGGUCAUAGUGAUCCGGUGGUUCUGUAUGGAAGGGCCAUCGCUCAACGGAUAAAAGGUACUCUGGGGAUAACAGGCUGAUUCCGCCCAAGAGUUCACAUCGACGGCGGAGUUUGGCACCUCGAUGUCGGCUCAUCACAUCCUGGGGCUGUAGCCGGUCCCAAGGGUAUGGCUGUUCGCCAUUUAAAGUGGUACGUGAGCUGGGUUUAAAACGUCGUGAGACAGUUUGGUCCCUAUCUGCCGUGGGCGUUGGAAGUUUGAGGGGACCUGCUCCUAGUACGAGAGGACCGGAGUGGACAGAUCUCUGGUGUACCGGUUGUCACGCCAGUGGCAUCGCCGGGUAGCUAAAUCUGGAAGAGAUAACCGCUGAAAGCAUCUAAGCGGGAAACUCGCCUCAAGAUUAGACUUCCCUGGGGAUUCGAUCCCCCUGAAGGGUCGUUCAAGACCAGGACGUUGAUAGGUCAGGUGUGGAAGUG